rnacentral:rRNA from 1 species
UACGGAGGGUGCGAGCGUUAAUCGGAAUUACUGGGCGUAAAGGGUGCGUAGGUUGUUAGAUAAGUUGACUGUGAAAGUCCUGGGCUCAACCUAGGGAUGUCAGUUAAGACUGUGUAACUUGAGUAUAGGAGAGGGUAGUGGAAUUUCCGGUGUAGCGGUGAAAUGCGUAGAUAUCGGAAGGAACACCGGUGGCGAAGGCGUCUACCUGGCCUGAUACUGACACUGAAGCACGAAAGCGUGGGGAGCAAACAGG